CGGGCCAUGGCGCAGUUUGGUUAGCGCGUUCGUCUGGGGGACGAGAGGUCGCAAGUUCGAAUCUUGCUGGCCCGACCA
rnacentral:tRNA from 1 species